AUAAACGCUAACGGCGUGCUUUAGGCAUGCAAGUCGAGCGGAUCUCGCAAGAGGUCAGCGGCAGACGGGUGAGUAAUGGUAAGGAAUCUACCUUAAAGUGAAGGACAUCUCGUCGAAAGAUGGGGUAAUCCUGCAUGUAACCGCAAGGUAAAAGGGCGUAACUGCCCGCUUUAAGAGGAGCCUUACUCCUAUCAGCUAGUUGGUGGGGUAAUGGCCCACCAAGGCUAUGACGGGUAGCUGGAGUGAGAGCUUGUACAGCCACAAUGGCACUGAUAUACGGGCCAUACACCUACGGGUGGCAGCAACCAGGAAUUGUCGACAAUGGGCGAAAGCCUGAUCGCGCGACGCCGUGUGAGGGAUGAAGCCUUUUGGGGUGUAAACCUCUUUUGUCCCGAUUUCGCAUCGGGAAGAAUAAGCAUCUACUAACUACGU
rnacentral:rRNA from 1 species